UACGGAGGAUGCAAGCGUUAUCCGGAAUGAUUGGGCGUAAAGCGUCCGCAGGUGGCAAUGUAAGUCUGCUGUUAAAGAGUCUAGCUCAACUAGAUAAAAGCAGUGGAAACUACAUAGCUAGAGUACGUUCGGGGCAGAGGGAAUUCCUGGUGUAGCGGUGAAAUGCGUAGAGAUCAGGAAGAACACCGGUGGCGAAGGCGCUCUGCUAGGCCGUAACUGACACUCAGGGACGAAAGCUAGGGGAGCGAAUGGG
rnacentral:rRNA from 1 species